rnacentral:misc_RNA from 1 species
AAGUCGUAACAAGGUCUCCGUUGGUGAACCAGCGGAGGGAUCAUUAAUGAGUUGCAAAACUCCAACCAUCGCGAAUGUAACCCAUUGCAGUUGCUUCGGCGGGUGGCCCUGAGAGGGGCCGCGCUCCCCCCACGGGGGGCAUGCCCGCCGGAGUCGUACAAACUCUUGUAUUUGUAGGCAUCUCUGAGUAACUUUACAAUAAGUUAAAACUUUCAACAACGGAUCUCUUGGUUCUG